AUUUGGUCAUCUACGUCAUAUUAAUUCUCAAUGGAUUUCGUGUGAGCAUUCCCAACGCCACCAUGGGAUACUAAUGCGAAUGGCACUUGUGUGAUGUAUGCCCAAUCAGGGAGAGUUUCGCUAACAGGUUUCCUCACAUUAUCGUAUGCAGAUCGUUCCAGGCGAGCGGAGAAACGACUGAAAGACGAUGUGCUGCCGUGUGUUUUUAAAGGUAUUCCCGAUGCCAUGGGUCCGCAGACAGAUGCUGUGCAAGCAAGCAGACAGCCCAAAAAUAUCCUCUCAUUGCAGUGAGAUCUUAUUUAGAAAGCUGAACGGUGCAUUUUGCUAUCCAGCAUAAUUUUCCCUUCCCUGAACCAUUUAUUUGGUUAGCUCCGCAAAUACCCGUUCCGAGAAGAAAUCCAGUCAUAUCUACCUAUCCCCCCAUUUAUCCUCAUCAGUUUAUUAUCCAUAGUUCCUGUCGUACGAAGCCUUACACGAAGCCUUCCUGUCGUGCGAAUCCUUAGUCGUACGAAGUCGUACGAAGCCUUUCCGUCUUCCGAUUAACGCACUACACUUUUCCACAGUUUCCUUGAUUUUUUUACGAGAUCCAAUAGUUGAGUUGGUCAUAUCCAGAACGACCGCGAUGCAACUGUCCUCUACUACUCCUUCAGUCCCUUCCGUUUCGCAACACGUUGUACUAGCUGGAGAUAAUUUACUGGAAAUUAAUACGUUCGAUCCCAAUACCCUAAGCGUGCAAGAUUAUAUCAAUGAGCAAGUUAAACUGUCUGAUACGCAAUGAAAGGAAGAUGCGUUUUAUAUCGUCAAUCUGGGAGAUGUCGUCAGCAAGCACCGUAUCUGGAAAGAAAAGCUGUCCCGUGUUGAACCGUUCUAUGCUGUAAAAUGCAAUGAUGACAUCGGAGUAUUGCAAACUUUGGCCAGCUUCCGAACCAGAUUCGAUUGUGCCAGCAAAAAUGAAAUCAACAAAGAGCUGUCGCUGGGCGUUCAUCCCAACGGGAUCAUAAUUGCUCACCCGUGCAAGACAUCCUCGCACAUCAAGUUUGCGGCUGAACACGUCAACACGAUACCCGCAUGACCACUUUUGACAACGAGCCCGAACUGCACGAGCCCAAACGAUCAAACGUCUCCAUCCUGGAUGCAAGCUGCUGGUCCGUAUUCGUACCGAUGGCCCGCUGGCUGUGUGCAAUCUGGGGAUCAAGUUCGGAGCCAGACUGCAGGAAGCCAAGCGCUUACUGGGUGUAACCAAGGAUCUGGAAUUUAGUGUAAUCGGGGUCAGCUUCCAUGUCGGCAGUGGAUGCACCAACGUGGAUGCCUACGCCAAGGCCAUUAUGUGGGUUUGCGAAUUGUUCGAUCACACUAAGGAAACUGGAACGCCAUUGACGAUGCUGGAUCUGGGUGGUGGAUAUCACGGACAAGUUGG